rnacentral:lncRNA from 10 species
AGACAACUGACCUCAGAGCCAGGAAACUUGGUUGUGGUUCCAGUUCUAGAAACCCUGUGUGGGAACUUGGGGAAGUGACUCAACUUCUAGCUCUGGUUUCUUCCUCUUCAAUGAUGUUAGCAGCAUGAUGAUUUCCAGGCUCUUCACAUUCUAACAGUCUAGAACUCUGUGAAACUUCCUGCUGUCUCAACAAGUUUCCACGCUAGGAGACUUUGGGCUUAUCAUUUAACAUUUCCAUGCUUUCAUAAAUUAGAUGAAUAACCUCCGGACUGCCUGACAUAAUGUUCAUCAUGGAAGUACUUUUCCCCUUUGGAGAUCACUGGAAACAGCUUCUGGACCACAAAUGGGGUGAACUACUGUAUCGAGAAAGGAGAGAGUAAGACUUGAGAGCUAUCUUUUUAGCUCAGGGUGCAG